rnacentral:sRNA from 1 species
GAGCAGCGGCUUCCUGAUACUUUAAUUUUUUAUAUGUACAUAUCAGUCAAAUUAUAUUUGCUGCGAGAAAAAGUGUUGGGGAUGCUAUGUGCCUGAUGGUUAGGUCUUGCAUAAAAAAAGUUGGGGGGAGGGGCUAGCGCCCCCCCAGUCCCCCCAGUUCCGACGCCUAUGUAAAAGAGUGAGGCAGUUCUGAUUUGCUUAAUCUAUAAACCAUCCAGCCACCUUAAGUAGAAUUGUUUGCAUGAAGUUUCACUGUAAUGGCCUUAGUUUCAUGUACGAAAAAAGAAUCUCAAGCUUCAUCCUAAUAAAGAACAACAAG